rnacentral:rRNA from 1 species
UACGGAGGGAGCUAGCGUUAUUCGGAAUUACUGGGCGUAAAGCGCACGUAGGCGGCUUUGUAAGUUAGAGGUGAAAGCCUGGAGCUCAACUCCAGAAUUGCCUUUAAGACUGCAUCGCUUGAAUCCAGGAGAGGUGAGUGGAAUUCCGAGUGUAGAGGUGAAAUUCGUAGAUAUUCGGAAGAACACCAGUGGCGAAGGCGGCUCACUGGACUGGUAUUGACGGCU